rnacentral:rRNA from 1 species
ACGGAGGGUGCAAGCGUUGUUCGGAAUUAUUGGGCGUAAAGGGCGCGUAGGCGGUUGUGAAAGUCAGAUGUGAAAUACUUCGGCUCAACUGAAGAACUGCAUCUGAAACUUCAUAACUCGAGUACAGGAGAGGGAAACGGAAUUCCCGGUGUGGAGGUUACAUGCGUAGAUAGCGGGAGGAAGACCAGUAGCGGAGGCGGUUUCCUGGCCUGAGACUGUCGCUGAUCCGCGAAAGCGUGGGGAGCAAACUG